rnacentral:pre_miRNA from 1 species
UGGGAAUGGAGAAAGACCAAACGAGAAGCUGCAUAACAGCGUAUUGAUUUACAUAAGUAAUGCUGAAUCAAGGCGCUGUUACGCAGCUUCUCGUUUGUUCUUUCUCCAUUCCCAUGGU